rnacentral:rRNA from 1 species
UACGUAGGGGGCAAGCGUUGUCCGGAAUCAUUGGGCGUAAAGCGCGCGUAGGCGGCCCGGUAAGUCCGUUGUGAAAGUCAAAGGCUCAACCUUUGAACGCCGAUGGAUACUGCCGGGCUAGAGUCCGGAAGAGGCGAGUGGAAUUCCUGGUGUAGCGGUGGUAUGCGCAGAUAUCAGGAGGAACACCAAUAGCGAAGGCAGCUCGCUGGGACGGUACUGACGCUGAGGCGCGAAAGCGUGGGGAGCGAACAGG